AUUGAACGCUGGCGGCAUGCUUUACACAUGCAAGUCGGACGGCAGCACAGAGAAGCUUGCUUCUUGGGUGGCGAGUGGCGAACGGGUGAGUAACAUAUCGGAACGUACCGAGCAGUGGGGGAUAACUAAUCGAAAGAUUAGCUAAUACCGCAUAUUUUCUGAGGAAGAAAGCAGGGGACCUUUGGGCCUUGCGCUGUUUGAGCGGCCGAUAUCUGAUUAGCUAGUUGGUGGGGUAAAGGCCUACCAAGGGGACGAUCAGUAGCGGGUCUGAGAGGAUGAUGCGCCACACAGGGACUGAGACACGGCCCAGACUCCUACGGGAGGCAGAAGUGGGGAAUUUUGGACAAUGGGGGCAAGCCUGUUCCGGCCAUGCGGCGUGUCUGAAGAAGGCCUUCGGGUUGUAAAGGACUUUUGUCAGGGAAGAAAAGGGCGGGGUUAAUACCCCUGUCUGAUGACGGUACCUGAAGAAUAAGCACCGGCUAACUACGG
rnacentral:rRNA from 1 species